rnacentral:hammerhead_ribozyme from 1 species
GCACUGCUGACGAGACUCAAUCCGGUCGAAACAGCCGUCCAGUGC